rnacentral:rRNA from 1 species
GACGAACGCUGGCGGGGUGCUUAACACAUGCAAGUCGAACGGAGUGGCGAACGGGUGAGUAAAACGUGGGUGACCUGCCCUGCAAUUCGGGAUAAGCCUGGGAAACUGGGUCUAAUACCGGAUAGUGUGGGAUGGGCACGCGGCCUAUCAGCUUGGUGGUGGGGUAAUGGUCUACCAAGGAGGCGACGGGUAGCCGGCAUGAGAGCGUGGACGGCAACAUUUGGACUGAGACACGGCCCAGACUCCUACGGGAGGCAGCAGUGGGGAAUAUUGCACAAUGUGCGUAAGCCUGAUGCAGCGACGCCGCGUGGGGGAUGACGGCCUUCCGGUUGUAAACUCCUUUCACCAUCGACGCGGUAGAUGGAGAAGAAGCACCGGCUAACUACGUGCCAGCAGCCGCGGUAAUAC